CAUCUCUCACCUGAUACCAAGUCAUCGUUGUCGAUUUUGUAAUGAUGAAUUAGACAUAAUAUAAAAUUCAAUACAAUGUCAGAGUCUAUCUGAUAUAUAUUGGUUGAUCUACUAUCGGGUAACUGGUAUCAUACUAUAUGGGUCACACUUCAUAUAUAUGUCCACGCAUAAGUGUUGAUGGACGUGUGUUAAGAAUCUCGCAUUGGAUAUAGAUUGAGUUUAGACAUAAAUUUAUAAACGUGAGACAUAGUAUUCACCUUAAUUACAAGUUGAUUUUGCAAAAAUGUAUUGACACAAUAUAAAAAUGAGUUAUAUUAUUUAGUACGAAACAAAUAUUUAAAGAAACACAAGAACAAUUAAUUGUCAAUUUAUUAAAGAUGGAUCAAAUAGUCACCUUCAUAUUUAGUGAAAAACAUAAGAGAGAAAAUAAAAAUAAAAAUAAAAAACUAAUUCCAAAAUUUCAAAUUUCUUUAUUACUUUCACUUUCUUACCAUUCAAGAUUAAUAUAAGACAUAAAUGUCCGACAAAAAUACUUAAAUUUAUCAACCAAGAAAGUCUCCAAAUCCACAAUGAAAUUUGAAGACCAAUACUUAGCAAGUAAUUAACCAAGCUAAUUAAGAUUCACCUGAUUCCUAUUUCCUAUAUAUCAUCUCACUCCUUCCCUUACAAUCUCCACUACCAUCACACUAGUCUACUAAAUCCUAGUUUCCUUUAUCAGUCUUUCUCUUUGUAACACCAACAAAGAGAGAUGGAGUCCUCAUCAACACCAAAAUUCUAUGCUUACAUAAUCAUUUGCAUGCUCUUCAUCUCUUCAGCCACACCAAUUCUUGGUUGUGGCUAUUGUGGUGGAGGAAAACCACCUAAAAAACACAAACCAGUUAAAAAACCAAUUGUGAAACCACCAGUGACAACUCCAACUCCACCCAUCACAGUCCCUCCAACUUUACCUAUUCCACCAAUUGUGAAACCACCAAUUUCAAUACCACCAAUAACAAUUCCACCAACUUUGCCUAUUCCUCCAAUUGUGAAACCACCAAUAGCAAUUCCACCAACUUUGCCUAUUCCUCCAAUUGUACCAACUUUGCCACUACCUCCAAUUGUGAAACCACCAAUAACAAUUCCACCAAGUUUACCAAUCCCUCCAAUUCCAGGACUCCCUCCAAUUCCAGGAAUCCCUCCAGUUCUUAACCCACCAAGCAAAGGAGGAAGCACACCUU
rnacentral:lncRNA from 1 species